AGUGGAUGGGGAGCAACCUAGUUGUGCGUGUGUAAAGGUAGUGCCAAGAAAAGCGGUGAUCAUGAUGAAAAUCAAUUCCCGGUACCCGAAACCGACACAGGUGGGCAAGUAGAGAAUACUAAGGGGCGCGAGGUAACUCUCUCCAAGGAACUCGGCAAAAUGACCCCGUAACUUAGGGAGAAGGGGUGCCACCGAGAGGUGGUCGCAGUGAAGAGGCCCAGGCGACUGUUUAGCAAAAACAUAGGUCUCUGCAAACUCGAAAGAGGAGGUAUAGGGGCUGAUGCCUGCCCAGUGCCGGAAGGUUAAAGAAGUUGGUCAGUCUUAGGAUGAAGCUAGCGACUGAAGCCCCGGUGAACGGCGGCCGUAACUAUAACGGUCCUAAGGUAGCGAAAUUCCUUGUCGGGUAAGUUCCGACCCGCACGAAAGGCGUAACGAUCUGGGCGCUGUCUCGGAGAGAGGCUCGGCGAAACAGGAUUGUCUGUGAAGAUACGGACUACCUGCAUUUGGACAGAAAGACCCUAUGAAGCUUUACUAUAGCUUGGAAUUGUGUUCGGGCUUCCUGUGCGCAGGAUAGGUGGGAGGCGUAGAGGGUAUUCUUGUGGGGAUACUGGAGCCAACGGUGAGAUACCACUCUCAGGAGGCUAGAAUUCUAACUUAAUUAAGGACAGUUUCAGGUGGGUAGUUUGACUGGGGCGGUCGCCUCCAAAAAGGUAACGGAGGCGUACAAAGGUUCCCUCAGACUGGUUGGAAAUCAGUCGAAGAGUGCAAAGGCAGAAGGGAGCUUGACUGCGAGAAGUACAGUUCGAGCAGGGUGGAAACACGGUCUUAGUGAUCCGACGGUGCUGUGUGGAAGGGCCGUCGCUCAACGGAUAAAAGUUACUCUAGGAUAACAGGCUGACCUCCCCCAAGAGUUCACAUCGACGGGGAGGUUUGGCACCUCGAUGUCGGCUCAUCGCAACCUGGGGCGGAAGUACGUCCCAAGGGUUGGGCUGUUCGCCCAUUAAAGCGGUACGUGAGCUGGGUUCAGAACGUCGUGAGACAGUUCGGUCCAUAUCCGAUGUAGGCGUGAGAAUAUUGAGAGGAGCCUUCCUUAGUACGAGAGGACCGGGAAGGACGCACCGCUGGUGUACCUGUUAUGAUGCCAAUUGUAAACGCAGGGUAGCCAAGUGCGGAGAGGAUAACCGCUGAAAGCAUCUAAGUGGGAAGCCCACCUCAAGAUGAGUAUUCUGGUGUAAGGUCACGGGAAGACGACCCGUAAAUAGGCACGAGGUGGAAGUGCAGAGAUGUAUGAAGCCGAAGUGUACUAAUAGACCGUCGGCUUGACC
rnacentral:rRNA from 1 species